GAAACCCUGUCUUGAAAAACCAAAAAACAAACAAACAAACAAACAAACAAACAAAUAAAUAAAAGGACACGUUUGAGUUUUCAAUUUGCAAAAAAAUUUUUUAAGAAACCAAAGUUUGGGCUGAAGAGGUGGCUCAGUGGGUAAAGCACUUGGCAUGAGGACCUGAGUUUGAGUCGAACAACCCACAUAGGAAGCCUGCCACAGGGACACACAUCUACAGGUUAUAACCCUGGUUACUCCCAGAAGAGACUGGAGGCAGAGGCAGGAGAACUUCCUGGAGCUCCAGGACCAGACAGCUUGUUAUACAGCAGUGAAGAGCAAGAGGCUGCUUCAAACAGGCUACAGGCAACACACACACCAAAGGUUGCCCCCUAAUUUCUGCAUGGGACCCAUGGCAUGCAGAUAUCCAUGCUCAUAUGUAAACACAUAUACAUACUCACACACACAAAAUGAUGUGGGGGGGUUUGUUGGUCUUUUAAAGACAGGGUUUCUCUGUGUAGCCAUGGCUGUCCUAGAACUUGCUUUGAAGACCAGGGUGGCCUCAAACUCAGAGAUUAAAGGUGUGCACCACCACAUCCCAGGGGAAAUGAUUUCUUUGAAAAGGAACUAAAGUUAUAUUUCAAAUCUUGUUUACAAAAUGUGUUGCACAUGAAGUUGUACUAUAUCGGUAUUUAUGCAAUUACUUUAUUGAAUUAUUUUGAACAGAAAUGAGAUUAUAAUUGUUUACAUUUUAUUUAUUGAUAUUUAUUGUACACAGUGUUGAUUUUAACAUAAACUUUCAAGUAUAGCUUGUACUUUACUCAUAUGGAUAAUCCGCCUUCCUUCUCUAUUCCACUUCCUCUAUUUGCCUAUGUACAUAUGUGUGUAUAUGUAAAUAGACAUAUAUAUGUAGUCAUAUAUCAUACAUAAGUAUCAUGUAUUUUAAAAUUAAGAUAUAUAUGCAUGUGUAAUAGUUUUAUAUAUCUAUAUAAGUCCAGGAUGCAUAAAUGACAGAAAAUAUAAUUUUUAAAAAUAUAACUUAUUUCAUAUAAUAUGAUAACCUCAAUUACAUACAUGUUCCAGAAAAUAUUAUAAUUUCAUCCUUCCUUUUAGGAAAAUCCUGCUGGGUAGUAGACUAUGAUUUGUGUCUUCAGUUGUCUGUGAAUAGCAUUAAGGCUGAUUGCAUAAAUUGGCUUUUUUGAAUGGGGUCAUGAUAUACACAAAUACCAGUGUCUCUGUGGUAUAUUGGCUUGGAAUCCUUACAUAUCCUGGUCUGGGAUAACUGGGUCAUAUGACAGUGCUAUUUUUAGUUUUUUUGAGGAAUCUGCAUACUAAUUUACAUAUUGGCUGUACAGUUUAACUCCAUGGUACCCAUGGCGCUUUGAGUUGAAGUUGUAGAUUCUAGCCCAUAGCUAUCCAUCUUACUGUCCUGUUCAGGGUUCAGGUCAUACAAAUCAGAUGACCUAUGAAGCACUCAGACUCUGAGGCCCAUGCUUCCGGACAGCCAAUAGUUCUUAAAGAGUCCAGAGGCCUGACCCUUCUUCCUCCCAAGGAGACCAUGGAGAUCUGAUCCAGUGGCACCCUUGCCUCCCUGUUCCACAGUGAGGCACUGGGCACACUUCUGAACAAAAAUCUUCUUGCCCUUCUCAAUGUCACCCAUUUUUUAAUUAGAUCUUUCCAGGCCCACA